GAAUACGUUCCUUGAUUAUCUGUUGAUUUCUUUUGUUUGUUUUUGUUUGUUUGUUUGUUUGUUUUCUGCAGUCCUUUUAGUGGGAGCAGGGAGAUGUUUUCAGCAAUACAACUUUCUGAGACCUCAGCUCUGUGCAGUUGUUGUUUGUGUGGUUCAGCUGUUUGGGAUCUUUCCUUUGUACGUGUUUUCCUGAAUGGCAGGGCUAUCUUGAAGCAUCUCUUUGCCAGUGACCAAGGCUCCGUCUGUAUUUGGAGGCAUGGGCUGGUCUAUAAAGAAGGCAGCAGCCUUUCAGGAAGCAGUAGCUUUUCAUUGACUUCCCUGUGGAGUCACAGAAGGCAAACAAAUACCGACGCACAGGUCUCCCCAUGCAGGAGUGAGGCCAUGGGGACGGACGGGAAGAUGGCUGUGCCUGGGCCAGAGCUGUCCA
ensembl:lncRNA